UGUGCGAAGGUAGCAUAAUCAGUAGUCUUUUAAUUGGAGGCUGGAAUGAAGGGUCGGACAAGGGGGAAGCUGUCUUUUUUACAAUUUUUGAAUUUUACUUUUAAGUGAAAAGGCUUAAAUGGGUUGGGGGGACGAUAAGACCCUAUAAAAUUUUACAAAAUUAGGAUUUUUUUUUAAAUUAAGGUUUAAAUUCUAUAAGUUCUUGUUUGUUGUGUUGGGGCGGCAAAGAUAAAAAUUAGUAACUGUCAUUUAAUUAGAAUAAGUAUAAUUAGUUUAGUUGAUCCUUUAUUAGAGAUUAAAAGAUUAAGUUACUUUAGGGAUAACAGCGUAAUUUUCCCUGAGAGUUCUUAUCGACGGGAGUAGUUGCGACCCCGAUGUGGAUUAAGGAUUAA
rnacentral:rRNA from 1 species